UACCAGCACCCCGAGUGGUCGGGACGUUUAUUGGGCCUAAAGCAUCCGUAGCCGGUUCUACAAGUCUUCCGUUAAAUCCACCUGCUUAACAGAUGGGCUGCGGAAGAUACUAUAGAGCUAGGAGGCGGGAGAGGCAAGCGGUACUCGAUGGGUAGGGGUAAAAUCCGUUGAUCCAUUGAAGACCACCAGUGGCGAAGGCGGCUUGCCAGAACGCGCUCGACGGUGAGGGAUGAAAGCUGGGGAGCAACCGG
rnacentral:rRNA from 1 species